CUGCUAUCGAGCCAAUCAAAACC
rnacentral:miRNA from 1 species